UUGCUAGUGGUGAGCUUGAGCAGUUACAUUCUUCUAACUUGUUUGAAAUCGACGUGCUUAUGGACGGUCUUGUGCUGAUUUGAUUAUUAAGCCAUCAGCACAUAACAAAAACCUAAGCUAUAUGGUUGCUGCUCUGUAUCUUAGUUUUUCCUAGAGUUUAUAUUUGGGGAAGCUUUCUACACUGUGGCUUACAUGUACACUCCCUCACAAACAAGCUGCAUAAAUGAAUGUAGUUUUUGGCUAGAUCACUGAUGAGAUCGGUCUUUAUCCUUCACGUAUUGUGCUAGUUCUGAGAUAAAGACUGCUGUUGUCUAUCAGGGGGAUGGGGUGUUUACCUUUGCAUGCUUUUUGUUACAUCACUAAUAGAUAAACGACCUGGGCAAGGCUAGAAAGAGUUUCUUUUUCAAUUUGUGAAGAGAUUGAUGAGCGGACUAAAGCGUUGGAUUGCUAUCUAUCCUUCCGUUUACCUUCGUACGUUUAUUGCCUCACAACUUCGUCAUGGUUAUGGAUAGUUAUGGAUAAAUCCCUCAGGUUUGGGUAUAAACAAUGGAAAUUACUCCAUAAAGACUCUUUCUUCAUCAUGGUUAUGGAUAAAUCCCUCAGAUUCGGGUAUUAAUAGUGGAAAUUACUGCAUAAAGGCUCUUUUUAUUUUAUUUUCCAGUGGAUUACUUUUUUUUUUUCGGGGAAGGGAAUGAGGUUGUUUGGUUGGGGAAAUCUUUUGGAUCAACUUGAUUUUGGCUUCAUGCAGGCGAGUUGCAACCUACAAUCCGAACUGAGGCGGGUUUUUGGAAUUAGCUCACCCUCACGUGAUCACGACCCUUUGUCCCGGCCAUUAUAGCACGUCUGUCGCCUAGGACAUAAGGGGCAUGAUGACUUGACGUCAUCCUUACCUUCCUUCGACUUAUCACCAGUAGUCUACUUAGGGUUCCAACCUCAACAGUUGGCAACGAAAUUUUGGGUAGGUUAUUGAGUGGGGGUGUCUUAUUCUUUCUCUUUUUUAAUUAUUUAAAA